AUUGAACGCUGGCGGCAUGCUUUACACAUGCGAGUCGAACGGCAGCGCGGGCUUCGGCCUGGCGGCGAGUGGCGAACGGGUGAGUAAUGCAUCGGAACGUUCCCAGUAGUGGGGGAUAGCCCGGCGAAAGCCGGAUUAAUACCGCAUACGACCUGAGGGUGAAAGCGGGGGACCGAAAGGCCUCGCGCUAUUGGAGCGGCCGAUGUCGGAUUAGCUAGUUGGUGGGGUAAAGGCUUACCAAGGCGACGAUCCGUAGCUGGUCUGAGAGGACGACCAGCCACACUGGGACUGAGACACGGCCCAGACUCCUACGGGAGGCAGCAGUGGGGAAUUUUGGACAAUGGGGGCAACCCUGAUCCAGCCAUGCCGCGUGCGGGAAGAAGGCCUUCGGGUUGUAAACCGCUUUUGUUCGGGAAGAAAUCCUCUGGGCUAAUACCCCGGGGGGAUGACGGUACCGGAAGAAUAAGCACCGGCUAACUACGUG
rnacentral:rRNA from 1 species